rnacentral:lncRNA from 1 species
AAAGUUUUUAAUUAUUGAUUCUAUGCUUUGAUAGGCAUAGUUCUACUGAGAAUGUCCAUUAAUGGAAUGCUGCUAGAGUGAUGCAAGCAGGGCCAGCCGAAAAAGGCACAAUGGAACCAGAGGAUGGUCCCUAAUAUUGAAGACAUUUGAAGUCUUUAUAUUCUGAGAUGGUUCCUUAUGCAGGGAUAAUUAAUUGAACCAGGAUGCUGAUUUCCGUGAAGGCUUUUCUCAUACUUUUGACAAACAAACCCAGGUACCCAGACAGCAGUGGCCCAGAUUCAGGCCUAACAACACCCUGUCAGCAGCAUGCAAGGAUGCAUCUCUUUGGAAUCCAGCUGGACCUUGAGUUGGUUCUAGGUCUAGGUGAAAUCUCUACUCAGGUUUAGAAACAGAACAUUAAUGACAUUGGAUAUUCCUCAGGACAUCGUGCCAUGUGUGAGUGUGUGUGUGUGUGUGUGUGUGUGUGUGUGUGUGUGUGUGUGGUGUUAUACCCUUGGCAAGUGAUCUACCACUGAACCACAAUCCCUUUUUAGUGUGUUAAAGAAAAAAAAAAAAAGUAUUCUAAAGUCUCUGAGAUGAAGGAAGAGUUAGUGGCUGACCUUGUCUUGCAGUUGAGGACACUGAGACCCAGGUACACAGAAAUGCUGGACUCUGGUUCUUUGUUCUUCUGGAACAUCCAUUAAAAGCCAGGGGUUCUCAGAAUAUCCAAGGAGGAAGCUAGCUAAUAGGAAAGACCCCCAACACUGGCAGUAUGACAUCUAGCCUUACCAGCCUUAAACCCUUUGUUAGAUGCUUGUGAUUGGACAAAACAUAGUUUGUUUCACUGUGUAUCAGUUGAUGGACUUUUGGGUUCUUUUCAUUUUUUGAUUGUUAGGGAUAAUGCUGUUUUGAACAUUCAUGUACAAGUUUCUGUGUGGACAGUGCACACAUGUUCUGCCCUACUGUCUUACAGGUCAAAUUCUGUCCAAGUUAAUGCUUUCAAUUAUCUUGGUUGGCAACAUAUGAGGAGGAUUGCUAGGUCAGAUUGCUAGGUUACAUGAUAACCAUGUUUAACUUUCUGAGGAACUGUUUCCAAAGUGGCCGUACUGUUUUAUAUUCUCAUCAGCUUUGAAUGAUGGUGCCAGUUUCUCCAUAUUCUUGCCAACACUUUUUACUGUCUAUAUUUUUUAUUUUAAAGUCAUUCUAAAUAAAAUCAUUUAAAAUCAUUUUUUUCCAGUGUGUAUCUAUUUUUUCCAGUUAAUUGGUGGAGAUAUUAGGAGCUGAAAGGUGG